CAGUUUCAGGGAAGGGUCCAGCUGGGGGCCGGGGCGGGGGGAGGAAGCACCGGAGACCCUGAAGAGUUGCCGCUGCUGCUGCCAGCCAGUGCAGACAACAACUCGGAGGGGCUGAGGGCCUGACUCUGUCCAAGGCUGCUGCUGGAGCCUGUAAGCAUGAAAAGGCCCUCGGUGUGUCCAGACAAGGCAGUGUCACCCAGCAGCGGCCAGCACCUAGCCCCAUGUGCCAGGAGGAGAAUCAGUUGGCAACCAUGUUGCCUCUUUUCAGUCAGGCCGCAGGGACCUAGAAACGCUGGGAAAAGACAUGGUCUGACUCCUUAGAACUGGCUUGUGUUUGCUUUCAUACCCCUUGUGGGGGGUGGAUGGAGAUUUACCUAGAAGGCAUCAGGCUGGAAGCAUUGUGUUGUUGGGCUGGUGACCUCAGGGGGUGGUUGGCCUCGUGGUUUCUCGAGGGAGGGGUGCUUCCGGGGUGCUGCUUCUGCUCCCCUUCCGCCCUCUGGUUCCCAGAAGCAAGAGCAGAGUGAGUCAGCAAACUCCUCUCCGGCCAAGCCUGCCUGGUAGCACUUUGCAAAAACUGUCAUCUUGGGGGGUAUUUCCAGCUGCUUUUUUUGGUGGGGGGGGGGAUUCCUGGCAGGAGGAAAAAAUGGGACGAGUUCCAGCAGGACGUGCCUUGUGCCCGUGUCCAGGUUCAGCGCAAGCUCCUUGCACAGAUGCAGUCUCGGAGAAAACGAGCCCUCCUGCCCGCCAAAAAGAAGAUUUCUCAUGAGAGCAAAAGGAUGCGACGGAAGGCCAGCUGAAUGACGUUCAAGGAGGCAACCAAACAGAAGCCAAACUCUCCUGUUAGGUUCAUCAUCCCCUGCUCUGUUUUGUGUGUCGACUGGAGCUCGGAGCCCCUGUGCACGUGUAUCCGGCGUCCUCAGUUCUCCCGCGGCUGAGCAGGGCCGGAGUGUGGCUUCUCCAGGGGACUUCCGAACCAGACCACAUCUCUCCAAGCGAGAGAAGAGAGCAGCAUAAUCUCCAAGACUGUUAAGUGCCUGGAGGGCCUCAUCAUCUGCGUCCCGUUCUGUCCUCCCACCAGUCCAGGGUGGCAGCUUGAGCAGAAAGAUGGUCCACGCAGGCUUCCUGCUGAGCUGCGUGCCUGGGUGGCAGUCUGGAACCAUUUCGCCUUUCCCACAGCCCUGCGGAGCCGGCAGGAUUCCCAGACUGCCUGAAGCAGGUCAGGAGAAACACAGCCAAUUCCUCUUAUCUAACCUCCAAAUACAUGAUAUGCCUUGUUCUGAACCCUGGAUUGUGAGAGCCCAAGGAUCCAGAGGAAGCCAAGCGGAAGCUGGCAAUGACAAGAAAGCCAAGGGUGGUAAAAAUGCUUCUGUGGGCAGCCCUUCAAAAUAGAUGUGCCUUGUUCUUAACAGAUUCCAAAGGAGUUGGCGGGGUCCAAGCCUCACUGUGCCGGGGUGAGUGAAGGCAAGUGGAGCUCCAAGACAGACGUGACCGAGGUAAAGCAACCCUUUCUAAGAGCCAGCAUUAACAGGCUUAGAUGGCCAGUACCUCCAAAGGAGAUGAUGGACCUUGUUCUUAACAGCUCUGGGGAGAGCACGGCAUCCGGGGACACGGAGGAAGUCGGGCUGCACGACACCAGUGGCCAAGCUGUGCCAUGCCAGGAUUGUGAUAAGUGGACACGCUUCAUGCUCCCACUGUUCAGUUAAUGUCGGGGGAGACAGACGCUGUGCUUCUUCCCGGGAUCAGGACACUGGGGCACCACAGCAUCCUGCAUCCUGACGCUGUCGACAGAGAAAGGCUUGAUCUCUGGAGCCCCACACUGCAACCGUGGGUGGUGGUACGUGGUGCUAGGGGCCUCUCAGAGUUGGGUUAUGCUGAGAUGUUACUUGGUGUUUGGAAGGCUUUGUAGCUGAUAACGACUUCACAGACGUUUUCACUGCAGAGUGAGUGUGUGUGUGCUCUAUAAAUGUGUGUAUGGAAUGGAUAACAAAUUGGCUUGAUUUGGGGGUGAAUAUUUUUGUGCAGAUAUCCUGACCUUGCUGGAAUCCCUCUGUAUAAUUGGAUUUGGAAAAAUAACUGAUUUGUAGCAUUAUUUAACACACAUAAACUUUGUAAAGGA